UGAAGUAACCGGCGUGAACGGAACCUCGUCCGUUCGGGAGGGACAACAGUGGAACGACUGCUAAUACCGCAUGAUACAUCGAAGCCGCAUGGCUUUGAUGUCAAAGAUUUAUCGCCGAAAGAUGGCCUCGCGUCUGAUUAGCUUGUUAGUGAGGUAACGGCUCACCAAGGCGACGAUCAGUAGCCGGACUGGGAGGUUGGCCGGCCACAUUGGGACUGAGAUACGGCCCAGACUCCUACGGAAGGCAGCAG
rnacentral:rRNA from 1 species